GCGCCAGACUCCUACGGGAGGCAGCAGUGGGGGAUAUUGCACAAUGGGGGAAACCCUGAUGCAGCGACGCCGCGUGAGUGAAGAAGUAUUUCGGUAUGUAAAGCUCUAUCAGCAGGGAAGAAGAUGACAGUACCUGAGUAAGAAGCCCCGGCUAACUACGUGCCAGCAGCCGCGGUAAUACGUAGGGGGCAAGCGUUAUCCGGAUUUACUGGGUGUAAAGGGGGCGCAGACGGCAGCGCAAGCCAGGAGUGAAAGCCCGGGGCCCAACCCCGGGACUGCUCUUGGAACUGCGCGGCUGGAGUGCAGGAGGGGCAGGCGGAAUUCCUGGUGUAGCGGUGAAAUGCGUAGAUAUCAGGAGGAACACCGGUGGCGAAGGCGGCCUGCUGGACUGCGACUGACGUUGAGGCCCGAAAGCGUGGGGAGCAAACAGGAUUAGAUACCCCCGUA
rnacentral:rRNA from 1 species